rnacentral:rRNA from 1 species
CACGUAGGGUGCGAGCGUUGUCCGGAAUUAUUGGGCGUAAAGAGCUCGUAGGCGGUCUGUCGCGUCGGUCGUGAAAACUUGGGGCUUAACCCUGAGCUUGCGGUCGAUACGGGCAUGACUGGAGUUCGGCAGGGGAGACUGGAAUUCCUGGUGUAGCGGUGAAAUGCGCAGAUAUCAGGAGGAACACCGGUGGCGAAGGCGGGUCUCUGGGCCGAUACUGACGCUGAGGAGCGAAAGCGUGGGGAGCAAACAGG